UAUCUCUGUAGAGUCUGCAUAUCAAUAAGCGGAGGAAAAGAAACUAACUAGGAUUCCCUUAGUAACGGCGAGUGAAGCGGGAAGAGCUCAAAUUUGAAAUCUUCAAGGUUUUACCUUGACGAAUUGUAGUUUAAAGAAGUGUUUUCUGUUGGAUGUUUUGGUAAAAGUUCUUUGGAAUAGGACAUCAUAGAGGGUGAGAAUCCCGUAUUUGACCAUUACUUUCCAGCUUUGUGAUACACUUUCAAAGAGUCGGAUUGUUUGGGAAUGCAGUCCAAAAUGGGUGGUAAAUUUCAUCUAAAGCUAAAUAUUGGCGAGAGACCGAUAGCGAACAAGUACCGUGAGGGAAAGAUGAAAAGAACUUUGAAAAGAGAGUUAAACAGUACGUGAAAUUGUCAAAAGGGAAGCGUUUGACACCAGUGUUGUUUUCUCGAAAAUCAAUUAAAAAAGGCAGGAUUUUGUGUUGUAUUGACUUUAUCAGCUUUCUGCACUCUUUUCUUGUCUUUUUUAAUGCACUUUUCGUUUAACAAGUCAACAUCAAUUUCUUUUGUUGUAAAAGGGUCAUUGGAAGGUGGCUUUCUUUUCGGAGAAAGUGUUUAUAGCCUUUGGCCUCUGCAAUCGGAGAGAUUGAGGUCUGCAGCGUAGAUCCCUCGGGGUUAGAUACAUUUGUGCUAAGUUAUAGCCUUUCAUAGACAACUUGUUGACUAUGAUCAGUCAUGUAGCUUACUCGCUUAUGCUAUUUUACCUACGCUUAGGAUGUUGACGAUCAGCUGAGCGCG
rnacentral:rRNA from 1 species